rnacentral:lncRNA from 1 species
AAAAAAUAUACUGGAUGGUUCAGAGUUCUUUUUAUCAGCUUAAAUAUGAAGUCACUGCAGUUCAGCAUCAGAGGACACAGAAAACAAAAACAAAACCCUUUAACUUGUUUCGAGAAACUGCUUGUUAAAAGUUCUUUUCCUCUCCACUCCUCAAUUGGUAUUUUCAUAAUGCGUUAGCUUCAAUGACAGAAAAGUUAAAAAAUUAUCUAUAUGUAUUUUUCUACUUGUCUUAUGGCUAGAAUUUAAAAAAUUAUAAGACUUAUCAAGAAUUCUGUGUUAGGUGGUUGGUGGUUUGGGGCCCUUCCCUGAGCUGAAUGAGUGCACAAAGCACAGCUGCCUUGACCUGGUGUUUUCCUUACUUCUUUGGGACGUUAACCACCCAAUGACUGAGUGCUUAUAUUAGCAAUGACGGGAGCUGUGCUCACUAAUAUUUGUCCUUAUGUUCCUUCCAUGGUAUGAAUUCUUGUUACUGCUUGUUGCUGGUUUAGUAGAAAACAUCAGUGAGAACAGCUUUGAACCAAAUGUUAGCCAUUUUCUCCAUGAUUCUUUGAGCUUAUAUUCAGCUGUGUGAUCUAGCCUAGAUCAUGAAGACAUGUUAGCCUGAAAUUAUCGCAAUAAUUUCAUUUCAAAUAGGACCAGACACCAUUCAAGANNNNNNNNNNNNNNNNNNNNNNNNNNNNNNNNNNNNNNNNNNNNNNNNNNNNNNNNNNNNNNNNNNNNNNNNNNNNNNNNNNNNNNNNNNNNNNNNNNNUAUCGCAAUAAUUUCAUUUCAAAUAGGACCAGACACCAUUCAAGACGUUGGGGAGUCAAGCAUGAACAAAACCAAGACCUUGUUAUACAGAAAAUAAAGCAGGGUUUAGGGAUAGGAUGUAACUGGAAUCAUUAUUUUAGAUAACAUGGUUGGAGUGUUUCUCGAACACUUUCUAUAGCAGCACAAUCAGUUUUAAAAAGGAGGCACACACUUUAGCUAAAUUAUUUUUAAGGAAAUGACUUCAUAUUUGCAACAGUUAGAUGUUGUUGCAAAGCAGUGGUUCUUGAACUGUAGCAUGUAUCAGAAUCAGCUAUGCUACUGCAUGCCAGGUCGAUUCAGUCCUGUCCAGCUCUUUGCGACCCAAUGGACUGUAGCCCACCAGGCUCCUCUGUCCUUGGGAUUUCCAAGGCAAGAACACUGGAGUAGAUUUCUAUUCCCUUUUCCACAUAAUCACCUACAGGGCUUAUUAAAACCCAGCUUGCUGGGACCUCCCCAGAGUUUCUGAUUCAGUGAAUCUGGGUAAAGUCUGAGAAUGUCAAUUUCUUAUAAGUUGCUAGUGAUGUUGAUGCUUGGAUCUAGGGCCAUUGCUGUAAAGAAAUUUUUUAAAGAUCACUUCAAAAAGAUUAAAACAAACAAAAACCAGCUGACCUGAUGGCAUGCAAAUAAUUCUUGUGAUUUAGGACUGAGUUUUUAACAAUAAAAAUCUUACAUUCAAAAAAGGGAUAUAUUUCAAAAAGUUGGAGGUGACAAUAAUGUACUUUGAAAAAUGAUGUUAAGCAACACAGAAGGUAGCUUCAGUGAUUAAUUAAAUACCUUGAAUGAAAGACUUGAUGUUGAAAAUAAGCAUGAAGAGUCUGAAUAAAAUUAUUUAUGAAAUGUGUUAAAGAAGCUCAAUUCAACUGACCCUUAAACAUGGGCAGAGGGAUCAGGACCUAGUCCUAAUUCUUCUAAUUAACUCAAAGUUCACAUAGAAGAAUAAUAUGUAACACUUCCAGUUGAAGGAUUAUAAUGUCAUUAAUUUAUAAUAUUACCUAAUGAUAUUUUUGUGUCUAUAUUUAACCUAAAGGAGAACUAGAUAGUAUAAUAAUAUUUAAAGAAUUUAAAAUUAUUUGGAGUAAUGAUAUGACCAAUAAGGAAUUAAUAUCCAAUGUAUAUAAACAGCUCAUAUAACUCAAUGUCAAAAAACCAAGCAACCUGAUUAAAAAAUGGGUCGGAAUGUGUUAUGUUACUUCUAUGGUAAUAAAAUAAGAAAUUAGGUCAGGUUGGGGAACAUGUGUAUGCUCAUG